AUGUCAUGGAGUAAUCUAUUGUCCCGUCUGGAUUCGAUUAUCCUGACACAAGGUCGUAAUCUGUUUCGCUGGAACCUUACUACAUCGGGGACUUUCACAGUAGACUCUAUGUAUCGUGCACUCACGCAUUCUGAGGUACCGGUGAGUAAUAACAAAAAAAAUUGGAAAACGAAGGUACCACUUAAAGUCAAAAUAUUCAUGUGGUAUCUCCGUAGGGAAGUUGUGCUAACAAAAGACAAUCUCGCACGACGCAACUGGUCGGGAAGUAAGAAGUGUUGUUUUUAUACUCAUGACGAGACAAUUAAACACCUCUUUUUUUACUGUAAGUUUGCUUGUUUUACGUGGUCAGCCAUCCAAAUAGCGUCAAAUUUGUAUCCGCCAACAAGUGUUGCCAAUAUUUUUGGUCAUUGA
rnacentral:rRNA from 1 species